CGGCGGACGGGUGAGUAACACGUGGAUAACCUACCUAUAAGACUGGGAUAACUUCGGGAAACCGGAGCUAAUACCGUAUAAUAUAUUGAACCGCAUGGUUCAAUAGUGAAAGACGGUUUUGCUGUCACUUAUAGAUGGAUCCGCGCCGCAUUAGCUAGUUGGUAAGGUAACGGCUUACCAAGGCAACGAUGCGUAGCCGACCUGAGAGGGUGAUCGGCCACACUGGAACUGAGACACGGUCCAGACUCCUACGGGAGGCAGCAGCA
rnacentral:rRNA from 1 species